ACGAUAUGCUUUGGGGAGCUGUAAGUAAGCUUUGAUCCAGAGAUUUCCGAAUGGGGAAACCCAGCAUGAGUUAUGUCAUGUUAUCGAUAUGUGAAUACAUAGCAUAUCAGAAGGCACACCCGGAGAACUGAAACAUCUUAGUACCCGGAGGAAGAGAAAGAAAAUUCGAUUCCCUUAGUAGCGGCGAGCGAAACGGGAAGAGCCCAAACCAACAAGCUUGCUUGUUGGGGUUGUAGGACACUCUAUACGGAGUUACAAAGGACGACAUUAGACGAAUCAUCUGGAAAGAUGAAUCAAAGAAGGUAAUAAUCCUGUAGUCGAAAAUGUUGUCUCUCUUGAGUGGAUCCUGAGUACGACGGAGCACGUGAAAUUCCGUCGGAAUCUGGGAGGACCAUCUCCUAAGGCUAAAUACUCUCUAGUGACCGAUAGUGAACCAGUACCGUGAGGGAAAGGUGAAAAGCACCCCGGAAGGGGAGUGAAAUAGAACCUGAAACCGUGUGCUUACAAGUAGUCAGAGCCCGUUAAUGGGUGAUGGCGUGCCUUUUGUAGAAUGAACCGGCGAGUUACGAUUUGAUGCAAGGUUAAGCAGUAAAUGUGGAGCCGUAGCGAAAGCGAGUCUGAAUAGGGCGUUUAGUAUUUGGUCGUAGACCCGAAACCAGGUGAUCUACCCUUGGUCAGGUUGAAGUUCAGGUAACACUGAAUGGAGGACCGAACCGACUUACGUUGAAAAGUGAGCGGAUGAACUGAGGGUAGCGGAGAAAUUCCAAUCGAACCUGGAGAUAGCUGGUUCUCUCCGAAAUAGCUUUAGGGCUAGCCUCAAGUGAUGAUUAUUGGAGGUAGAGCACUGUUUGGACGAGGGGCCCCUCUCGGGUUACCGAAUUCAGACAAACUCCGAAUGCCAAUUAAUUUAACUUGGGAGUCAGAACAUGGGUGAUAAGGUCCAUGUUCGAAAGGGAAACAGCCCAGACCACCAGCUAAGGUCCCAAAAUAUAUGUUAAGUGGAAAAGGAUGUGGCGUUGCCCAGACAACUAGGAUGUUGGCUUAGAAGCAGCCAUCAUUUAAAGAGUGCGUAAUAGCUCACUAGUCGAGUGACACUGCGCCGAAAAUGUACCGGGGCUAAACAUAUUACCGAAGCUGUGGAUUGUCCUUUGGACAAUGGUAGGAGAGCGUUCUAAGGGCGUUGAAGCAUGAUCGUAAGGACAUGUGGAGCGCUUAGAAGUGAGAAUGCCGGUGUGAGUAGCGAAAGACGGGUGAGAAUCCCGUCCACCGAUUGACUAAGGUUUCCAGAGGAAGGCUCGUCCGCUCUGGGUUAGUCGGGUCCUAAGCUGAGGCCGACAGGCGUAGGCGAUGGAUAACAGGUUGAUAUUCCUGUACCACCUAUAAUCGUUUUAAUCGAUGGGGGGACGCAGUAGGAUAGGCGAAGCGUGCGAUUGGAUUGCACGUCUAAGCAGUAAGGCUGAGUAUUAGGCAAAUCCGGUACUCGUUAAGGCUGAGCUGUGAUGGGGAGAAGACAUUGUGUCUUCGAGUCGUUGAUUUCACACUGCCGAGAAAAGCCUCUAGAUAGAAAAUAGGUGCCCGUACCGCAAACCGACACAGGUAGUCAAGAUGAGAAUUCUAAGGUGAGCGAGCGAACUCUCGUUAAGGAACUCGGCAAAAUGACCCCGUAACUUCGGGAGAAGGGGUGCUCUUUAGGGUUAACGCCCAGAAGAGCCGCAGUGAAUAGGCCCAAGCGACUGUUUAUCAAAAACACAGGUCUCUGCUAAACCGUAAGGUGAUGUAUAGGGGCUGACGCCUGCCCGGUGCUGGAAGGUUAAGAGGAGUGGUUAGCUUCUGCGAAGCUACGAAUCGAAGCCCCAGUAAACGGCGGCCGUAACUAUAACGGUCCUAAGGUAGCGAAAUUCCUUGUCGGGUAAGUUCCGACCCGCACGAAAGGCGUAACGAUUUGGGCACUGUCUCAACGAGAGACUCGGUGAAAUCAUAGUACCUGUGAAGAUGCAGGUUACCCGCGACAGGACGGAAAGACCCCGUGGAGCUUUACUGUAGCCUGAUAUUGAAAUUCGGCACAGCUUGUACAGGAUAGGUAGGAGCCUUUGAAACGUGAGCGCUAGCUUACGUGGAGGCGCUGGUGGGAUACUACCCUAGCUGUGUUGGCUUUCUAACCCGCACCACUUAUCGUGGUGGGAGACAGUGUCAGGCGGGCAGUUUGACUGGGGCGGUCGCCUCCUAAAAGGUAACGGAGGCGCUCAAAGGUUCCCUCAGAAUGGUUGGAAAUCAUUCAUAGAGUGUAAAGGCAUAAGGGAGCUUGACUGCGAGACCUACAAGUCGAGCAGGGUCGAAAGACGGACUUAGUGAUCCGGUGGUUCCGCAUGGAAGGGCCAUCGCUCAACGGAUAAAAGCUACCCCGGGGAUAACAGGCUUAUCUCCCCCAAGAGUUCACAUCGACGGGGAGGUUUGGCACCUCGAUGUCGGCUCAUCGCAUCCUGGGGCUGUAGUCGGUCCCAAGGGUUGGGCUGUUCGCCCAUUAAAGCGGUACGCGAGCUGGGUUCAGAACGUCGUGAGACAGUUCGGUCCCUAUCCGUCGUGGGCGUAGGAAAUUUGAGAGGAGCUGUCCUUAGUACGAGAGGACCGGGAUGGACAUACCUCUGGUGUACCAGUUGUCGUGCCAACGGCAUAGCUGGGUAGCUAUGUGUGGACGGGAUAAGUGCUGAAAGCAUCUAAGCAUGAAGCCCCCCUCAAGAUGAGAUUUCCCAACUUCGGUUAU
rnacentral:rRNA from 1 species